ACUGUGCAUCAACAAAGAUCCAAAGACUGGAUUAGAGGACCUCAAUCCCUAACAAACAAGCCAGCAUCGAAAAAUUAUUCUGUACGGACACCGGACAGUCCGGAGGCCAAUCAUAGCUCGCCACAUCACUUUUUUUCUACCAGUUUUUGGUACCACUGUGUACCGGAUGAUGUUGCACAUUCUAGUUAGCCUCCGGACCAGACAUCAAGAAACAUGUAAACAUAAUCGAUAAACAAAGUAGAAUAUCACCCAAAACUCUUUAAAUCUACCACCUUCAAAGCCUUAAAGCUGCGGGCCAUUCUUGAUGAAAAAGAACAAUGUGGCAUUCUAAUGAGUAAGGAACUUUUAUUUGGUCCGGUGCAAGGACCUAGAGGAAGGACCUAAUAAUUGCUCGAGAGACAGAGAGAUGCCAGCAACGUGAGAUAUUGUAGAGUGAAUCCAUUAAGAAAGCUAAAGAACUUGCAAUGCAGAGAACUAACAAAUAUGCUGUAGCAUUCACUGACAGCAGAAACUACAAAAUAGAUAAGCCUAUAAAUAAAAAAUCCAAACACUUUUAGUAACUCCUAUGAUAGCUUUCGUUAUUCAAAAGCAUCUGUAAGAAUAUCUCAUUGACUCUCAAGAGAGCAAAAGGGGGAGAAAGAAAGAGUGUUUAAAAGUUUUUUAAUCUUCUCAGAGAAAAAGGUUAAUAUAUCAAUCCUAUAUUUCAUUCCUAUCACUCAUACCAACUUAUAAAUUAUAAUAUUUCAUUCCUGGCUCUUGUAUUUGAUCUAUGGAUAAUAGACAUGAAAUAUAAAAAAAUUUAGGUGUUGGAUAAAAAAAUGACAUAAUAUAAAAUGGUCCGUAGGUUAAUCCCUAUUUUUUUAGUUCAGAUUAAACAAUAACAUUUUUAAAACUCGUGCAUUUGAAACCCUUUACACCCCUCUUAUUUAUAAAUCAACAUCAUUAUAAUCUUCCUCACAAUUUUGAACUCAUAAAAGAGAUAAUCAUAACACUCUAUUUACCUUUUAUGAGUGUGGCACUAAUCUUCAAUAAUAGUUCAAUGAUUAGGCUUUCUGAAUUGUAUUUCAUGGAGGAAACGAGGCUACUAAUAGUAUAUCCAUCUAUAAACCAGUAGUAUUUUAUUCUUCAACGAAAUUUCAAUUUUUUUUUAUAGCAAGGCUGUCAUUCCACCAAUACAUUAAAAUUAUGAAAUAGGAGUGUUUACAUCAAUAAGGUAAACAUUUUUUUUUUUUUGCGCUAAAUCCACCAAAACAAACUCAACGACAUGGAUCACAAUAUAAAAAAGGAAAGAAGAAGAAAUGAAUAAGAAUAAGGCUAAGAUGAUGACAAUGAAUCCACGACAUCAGACAAGCAGAAAAGCUUUGCAAAGCUUGAAUUACCAACAUAUGUCAACUGUGGUUGACCGAGAAACUCCAGGCCAUCCUGACAUGCACCAUUUAGAACCAAUUAGGGCUGCAAACGAACAGCGUCGAGCCAAGUAUAUGAAUGUUCAUGUUUGUGUUCAUUUAUUAUUUAGGUUAUUCGAGUUUGGUUCGUGUUUGAUUCGAGCUUUAUUGUUUGUGUUCAUGUUUGAUUUGUUUAAAUUAAUGAGUGUUCAUGUUUGGUUCAUGUUUAGUUCGUUUGCUGCUUAUCGAGCUUUAAACAAACAAACCUUAAAUAACUAUAAACGAGCUCUGCUUCUAGAUGUUCGUUAACUUAACAAACUAGCUUUAUCGAGCCUCCUAGCAAAUAAUUAUAUCGAGCCUCCAAGCAAAUAAUUAUAUCGAGCCUCCUAACAAAUAAUUAUAUCGAGCAUGUUUACAAACAUAUUUAGUGAAUUUUUUUAAAAUAUCAAACAAGCAUGUUCAUGAACAUGUCUAACGAUUAUUCUUGAUCUAUCAAAUGAGCAACUUCACUAACAUAUAUAACUAGUUUUUUUGAGCUACCAAAUGAGCUCGUUCACUUUAAAUUCUAAAUCAUCAUCAUAGCCCUCCAAACUUUUUAUUUAGAAGAAAUAAUAACACACUAGUACAUUUUAUGUUUAUGGCACAAAUCUUUAUAACUGCCAUAUCAUUAAGAACUAUAUUAAAUGAUGAAAACGAAGUUUUAAUUAUACUAUUGCC